GGAGGUCCGAACCCACGAGCGUUGAAAAGCUCGGGGAUGACUUGUGGGUAGCGGUGAAAUUCCAAUCGAGCCCGGAGAUAGCUGGUUCUCCCCGAAAUAGCUUUAGGGCUAGCCUCAAGGUGAGAGAUACGGAGGUAGAGCACUGAAUGUCCUAGGGGGUAUUGCACCUACCGAAGACUAUCAAACUCCGAAUGCCGUCAUCUUAUACUUGGGAGUCAGACUGUGGGUGAUAAGAUUCAUAGUCGAAAGGGCAACAGCCCAGAUCGUCAGCUAAGGUCCCUAAAUGUAAGUUAAGUGGUAAAGGAUGUGGGAUUGCACAGACAACCAGGAUGUUGGCUUAGAAGCAGCCACUCAUUCAAAGAGUGCGUAAUAGCUCACUGGUCGAGUGAUCUUGCGCCUAACAUUUCCGGGGUUAUAACUUGCUCCCCUGCCUACGGCAUCAGUAAUGAUGGGUAGGGGAGCUACCCAUACGGGUUGAAGCAUGACCGUAAGGACAUGUGGACAGUAUGGGAGUGAGAAUGUUGGCAUGAGUAGCGAGAUGUGGGUGAGAAUCCCACAGGCCGUAAACCCAAGGUUUCCAGGGGAAGGUUCGUCCGCCCUGGGUUAGUCGGGACCUAAGCUGAGGCCGAAAGGCGUAGGUGAUGGAAAACAGGUUGAUAUUCCUGUACUACCGAUAACCGUUUGAGAGAUGGGAUGACACAGUAGGAUAAGCUAAGCACACUGUUGGUUAUGUGUGCCCAAGCAUUGAGGCAGUCAAAGUAGGCAAAUCCGCUUUGAUAAUGCUGGGAUGUGAUGGGGAGCGAAAUUUAGUAGCGAA
rnacentral:rRNA from 1 species